rnacentral:lncRNA from 1 species
UGGUAGUGGUGGUGGUGGGAUGGUGGUGGUGGUGGAACGCGAUAGAGUUUGGCCGAUGGUGCAGUCAACGUCGGGACCGGCAUCUCAAAAGACGCACGCGUCUCUUGUCGUAUCCGUGCACGGUUAAACGAUAAACAACGUUAGUUUCGCGUAAAUUAAAGAAGGGAAAGAACAUCGUUGACAUUCUCCAUUAACCGUAAGAAAUUUUUAUCAAAGUGAACGUUCGUUUUUAUGAACGGGAAGGAGUGUAAAUUGAAAAGAAGAAAAAAUUAGAAGAAGAAGGAGAAGAAGAAGAAGAAGAAGAGGAAGAGGAAGAAUAAGAGGAAGAAAAAGACGAUGACGAUGAAAAUAUCGAAAAAGAAAACGUUAUCGUCAUAGUUGUUGUUCGAUAUGAAUAAUCUUCGAUAAUUUUUCUUUUCCUCUCUUUGUACAUUUUUUUUAUUUUAAUUAUUACAUUGUUAAAAUGUUCGAGGUGAUAUUACACGAACAGUGAUAAAUUUGUUGACACUAGAAGGGAAGGACAGUGGUGGUAGUGGUGGUGGUGUGACGUUAAGGUAUUUAAAAAAAAAAAAAAAAAAAGAAAAAAAAAGAAAGGAAAAAGAAAAAUCGAAGCGAUAAAGUAUCACCUUCAACUCUAUCGAUCGUUCGAAGUUUACGAUUUGCAGUAGGAAGAUACCUUUUUGGAUUGUGUGCUGACGUGAAAGAUUUAGUUGGAUUUAUAAAAGAAAGAAAGAAAGAAAAAAGAAAGAAA